rnacentral:rRNA from 1 species
GACGAACGCUGGCGGCGUGCUUAACACAUGCAAGUCGAGCGGUAAGGCCCUUUCGGGGUACACGAGCGGCGAACGGGUGAGUAACACGUGGGUGACCUGCCCUCAGCUCUGGGAUAAGCCUGGGAAACCGGGUCUAAUACCGGAUAUGACUCCAUGACGCAUGUUGUGGGGUGGAAAGCCUUGUGCGGCUGAGGGUGGCCCGCGGCCUAUCAGCUUGUUGGUGGGGUGA